GCGUGGCUGCGCUUCUCGUCAGGAACCAUAUCCCCGGGGCCUUACGCACUCCUUAGGGAGCUGUACUUGUCCAGGCUCGUGGGCCUGGGCACACGGCGCCCACCUACUUAGUAGGUUUCCCGGGAUUGCGACUUCCAACGGAUGUUGUGGCUACGCA
rnacentral:other from 1 species